CUGCAGAACAAUUAAGUCAAUUUAGGUCUGGACAGGGAAAAUUAUUGUUUUCUACCAUUAUAAUAUGUUUUGUCUAAAAUUUACACUUUAUAUACAUUUCAUUUAUUGACAUAUGUACGACCAACAUCACAAAAAAAGUGUAUAUUUCUGAAAACAUGCAUUUAAAAAUACAUUCACACAGCAAAAACCUUAUCAUAAAUUAAUACUAAGAUAAGUGUG